ACUUUCUUGUAAAAAUGCCUGUUUGGGAUUCCUCAGAGUACGGAGAAAAAGGAAGGCUUGAUCAGCAUGUGGUGGAUCUGAAGAUUCAAAGAGGUGCCACGGCUCAAAAGCAGACAUUUUGGUAAAUGUGAAGAAGUGAGAUUCAAUGAAGAUGAUAAGAAAUGAAAGGUGUUGCCAAAA
rnacentral:antisense_RNA from 1 species